UCAAAAUCUUUCAACACCUGUACACCAUUUUGCUUCUCCCGUUCACAAACUGAAUUCAGGUACAGCUGAUUGUAGACAAGCCUGGUGUGUGGAUAACUGAGGAACCUUUGCAAUGGCUAACUGGCUGCCAGGGGUUGGAAGAGUUCACUGAACCUUCAAAGUGCACAGCUGUUAUCUUUGACUAGUGGCCAAAAACAAAAUUAUAGCUUUGGUAAGAGAUGCCAGCGCAGUUGGGGCGGGAGCGGUGCUUCUCCAGGAGGAUACCCAGGGCAUUGACCAUCCUGUGAGUUACUUCUCUCGGAAGUUUGACAAACACCAGCUCAGGUAUUCUACCAUUGAAAAGGAGACCCUUGCUUUGUUGUGGGCCUUGCAACAUUUUGAAGUCUAUACAGAGUCAGGUCAGAGGUCAGUCCAAGUAUUCACAGAUCACAACCCUUUAGUUUUCCUCUCCAAGAUGUAUAAUCACAACCAGCGGCUUAUGCGUUGGUCACUGAUUAUUCAGAAUUAUACCCUCAAAAUCCAUCACAAAAAAGGUUCAGAAAACAUUGUAGCAGACGCACUCUCCCGUGCUGUUUAGAGAGGUCACCAAACCCUGAGUUUGGUUUUUGAAAGGUGAGAGUGUUACGUGCCAAGGGGUGUGGCUUUGCUUUUGUACUCUGUUUUGUGUUCUAUUCAUCUUUCAGGCGUCAGGCCUCCUCUGAUUGGCCAGUUCGAAGUUGAUUGGCAGGUGUCUAUUGGCUGGACUGGGCUCAGUUGGCCAAUCACACUCCAAGGAACACUACAAAGGAGCCGCUCCCUGGCCAGCUGGUGGCUGCUGGCUUCUGCUUUGACAAACAUUUGCGAACAGGCAUCUUUAUGUUGUGUGUGGUGGGAGGCUGGACAGGUAAGCCGGGGUACCCUAUACACUGGUUGUAGAUUUUACUCUGUUAGUCACACUAGGUUAUGCGGUUGAUGCCACCCUUGUAUGUUUUCACUGACUUUUAUCGAGUAGCUAGGUAGGCCUUUUGUUUUGCAUUUUUCUUUCAGUUAGGCUAGGCCCUGGAAGCUACUGACCUCUUUUUGUUUUAUUACUUUCUUUGAUUUGGAUCAACCGCCCAGUCCUCCUCCCCCACCUCUUUACUGUUGUUAAAUUUGACUAUCCAGGCAAGCACCCAAUAAAUCCUGCCUGAUACUUAACUGUUCUGUGGUCUUCCUCCUUCAUUGAUUGUGGUUGUCCAGUGUUGCUGUCUCCUUCCUACCUUUGCCUCCGCCAUGGUGGGGGGGACGUAACACAAGUGGGGGCUCGUCCGGGAUCGUUGUAUGUGGUGGACAACCUGUAUUAAUGAGGACGGUGCCGUGAUUUUAGGGUGUCUACGUUUCAUAGUAUCAGCCGGAGAUGAGUUUCGACCUGCCUGGUUUUGUUAGUCACCCUAGCGUUGACAAAGUUGACUUGUGUCGCAAAGACGACCUGUUGAGUAUUGCUGCCCAGUAUAACCUUGCCGUACCAAAGUAUGGAGUGAAGAAGGAUAUUAAGCAGGCUUUGUUGGAGGGAUUAUUCGAGUUGGGGAUUUUAAUCAGCCCUGUUCCAGCUGGGGUGCCUUCUCAGGACCCUUCAGUUUCCCCUGGUGCCUCUGCUGAUCUAGCUUCUCCAGAGAGAACUGAUGAGCAAGCGCUGCCUGCUACACCUCCGGGUGCCCAAGUUAACUCUGAUGUGGCUCCCCAAACUCUGCCUCGCUUUAAGCCUUUCACUCCAGAAUCCCAAUCAUCUAGCAGUGAUGCAAAGCUUAAGGUUCGCUUACUGCGUUUACAGUUGGAGGCACAAGAGAAGGAUAAGGUGCGUAAAGCGGAUUAUGAUCUCCGGCUGGAGGUCCGUAGGCUGGAGAUAGAAGCUGAAAAGGAAGUCAGGUUAAAGCAGCUUGAAGUAGAAGCACUGAGGGUGUCAUCAGGACAGAAAACAGAUGCCACUAAAGAAAUCCCGAAAGUCUCCCCGGAAAGUUUUAACGUUAGCAAACAUAUUGCCCUAGUACCUACCUUUCGUGAGACUGAGGUAGAUUCGUACUUCAACACUUUUGAAAAGGUGGCUACUGCUCUGAAAUGGCCAAGAGACAUGUGGCCCAUAUUACUUCAGUGUAAAUUAGUGGGAAAAGCUCAGGAGGUAGUAGCUUCACUUUCGCUAGAGCAAAGCAUGAAAUACGACGUGUUGAAGGAAACAAUUGUACGUGCCUACGAACUGGUACCUGAGGCCUACAGGCAGAAAUUUAGGAACCAUAAGAAGUCUAGCAGUCAAACAUGUGGAGUUUGCACAUGAAAAAGGGGCUCUUUUUGAUAAAUGGUGCGCUGCUAACGGAGUUGGGGAUGAGUAUGAGUCGCUGCGUGAGUUAAUGCUACUGGAGGAUUUUAAAAAUUCAUUACCUGAGAGGCUCAUAAUGUUCUUAAACGAACAGAAGGUGACGUCCAUGUCCAAAGCAGCUGUGUUGGCCGAUGAGUUUGUGCUAACUCAUAAGAAUGUUUUUACCCCUGUUUCCCAUCCAGAUAGGCCCACAGCCAUGCGCUCAGCACGGCUUGAGUCUAGUUGCUCUGCUGCGAGGCCAGUGAGGCCAAUGAGGGGGCCCUCGCCUUCCCACGGUGAGCGUGAAUGCUUUUAUUGCCACAAGAGGGGUCAUCUCAUCGCAGAAUGUCAGGCAUUAAAGCGUAAACAGCAACUAUCCUCACAACCAAAAGGGGUGGGAUUGAUUAAAGCCACAGAGACUGGGAGGGCAUUUCAACCAAACACUAACCACCCUGACCCCUGUUUCAAACCAUUCAUUCUAGAGGGAGUGGUUUCACUGACUGGGAAUCCAAAUGAUCAACAACCAGUAAAAAUACUGAGAGAUACAGGGGCCUCUCAGUCCAUCAUUAGAGAAAACGUCUUACCGUUUUCUGAGGAGUCAUUUUGCCAGUCCAGUGUUAUUGUCCAGGGAGUAGAACUCGGAUUUGUAUCUGCCCCUUUGCACACUAUUCACAUUCAGUCUUCAUUAGUCAGCGGAGUUGUUAAAGUGGCUAUUCGUUCUGCGUUGCCCAUACCAGGCAUUGACUUCAUCCUAGGUAAUGACCUUGCUGGAGGCAAGGUCAUACCCAUUCCUGAGGUGUUAGACAGACCCGAGCUGAGCCGGGAUUCUGACUCAGCCCAAGACCAGCUUGCCAUCUUUCCAGCUUGUGUAGUUACGAGGGCCCAGACAAAAAAGUAUGGUCCUGACUUGGCCGAUUCCUUCAUGAGGUCAGAUCCCGUUGGUGAUGUGAUUAACUUUACCUCUGGAUCUAAGGUUCAGGCCACAGUUCCACCUGCUGACAAAACACAACCAGUUCUGGAUUUGCCAGUCUCCCGAGAGGAGUUCAUUAUUGCACAGAAAAAUGAUGUAACCCUGUCCAAGUGUCAUUCCUCCACUCUCAGUCAACAGGAUGCCAAAGGGAAAAAGCUGGCUUACUUCUCUGACAAAGGUCUUCUGAUGCGCAGAUGGACAAGUGAGGUCUCGGAAGACGCUGACUGGUCUGCAGUAUAUCAGGUGGUGGUACCUACUGCUUAUCGUACCCAGGUACUGUCCUUAGCACAUGACCAUCCAUGGUCAGGACAUUUGGGGGUUAAUAAAACAUACACCAGAAUUCUGAAACAUUUCUUCUGGCCCGGACUGAAAUCUGAUGUUGUGCAAUACUGCCGUACUUGCCAUGCAUGCCAAAUGACCGGCAAGCCAAACCAAGUAAUCCCCCCCGCUCCUCUCUGUCCUAUCCCAGUAAUAGAGGAGCCAUUUCAAAAAGUGAUUGUUGACUGUGUGGGGCCUCUACCUAAAGCUAAAACUGGAAACCAGUUUCUGUUGACGAUCAUGUGCGUUUCGACCAGGUUUCCCGAGGCAAUCCCACUACGGAGAAUAACAGCUCAGAUUGUUGUCAAAGCACUGUUGAGAUUCUUUUCAACCUUUGGUCUGCCUAAGGUUGUGCAAACAGACCAAGGCACUAACUUUAAGUCUAGAGUGUUUGCCCAAGCCCUGAAAACAUUAGGCAUUGAACACAUA
ensembl:lncRNA